CCUACGGGUGGCAGCAGUCGAGAAUCAUUCACAAUGGGGGAAACCCUGAUGGUGCGACGCCGCGUGGGGGAAUGAAGGUCUUCGGAUUGUAAACCCCUGUCAUGUGGGAGCAAAUUAAAAAGAUAGUACCACAAGAGGAAGAGACGGCUAACUCUGUACCAACAGCCGCGGUAAUACAGAGGUCUCAAGCGGUGUUCGGAAUCACUGGGCGUAAAGCGUGCGUAGGCUGUUUCGUAAGUCGUGUGUGAAAUGCGCGGGCUCAACCCGCGGACGGCACAUGAUACUGCGAGACUAGAGUACUGGAGGGGGAACCGGAAUUCUCGGUGUAGCAGUGAAAUGCGUAGAUAUCGAGAGGAACACUCGUGGCGAAGGCGGGUUCCUGGACAUUAACUGACGCUGAGGCACGAAGGCCAGGGGAGCGAAAGGGAUUAGAUACCCCAGUAGUC
rnacentral:rRNA from 1 species